CCAUAGCAUGGUGGGGGCUUCAGGAGCCAGUGGGGCUGAGGUAAGGUGAUUGAGGAUGGGGGACAUGUAGUCUGUUUGUAGGCAGCAGGCAAUGAGCCAGGAGAAGUUGAGAAUGAGGAGUGGGGGGUGGUUGAUAGACCUGUGGGAGGAGACCAAUGGGGAUGGGCGCCAGGGCAGCCGAGGAAGGCCCACCUCGUCCUCUGUGUGUGAAGUGAAGGUUGGCGGAUGAUCCGGAGGACACCCAAAGAGGGGACAGAGCUUGGGAGGGGUGCCUGGGUGGCCUUGGGCUUUCCAGGGAAGUGUGAGGAGAAGGGGAGGCAGGGCAACAAUAAGGGACCGGAGAGGGGAAGAAGCUGUGGAACAGACACUCUGGGGGGCACAUGUGAGCAGGGCAGAACCUGAGGACUAGCAGGGGGUGGCUCAUGCCAGCAGCCGGCAUGAUGUGCCACAGAGUGGUGAAGAAGAAGGGGAAAGGGAACUGGAGGACGAAAAGUCGGGCUAGAUGAGUGUGAGACUGAUGCUCAUAUGACUAGUUUAUUUUCAGGUGUUACAAGAUUACAUACUAUAGAAAACAGCUUUGUACCGUGAGAAAUAAUCUACAAGCUCUAAUUAAUAACACAAUCUAAGCAGCUAAAGAUCCUCAUUUUCUCAUGAGAAAGUAGUUUCAAUGCCAAAUUUCGUAUCUGUUGUUUCCCUGCCCAGUUCUUAGUAUUGUCUACCUGAGUCAGCCAGCUGGCCUCAAGGCUGGGCAUCAGUGAGAACUUAAAAUCAACAAACCAUAACAAAUGGAGCUAGGGCAAGAGUCAUGGGAGCAAGCCUCUAUUCGUACUGACCCCUAAAGUCUAUAAGGACUUAGAGAUUUUCCAUAAGGACUCGGGCUCCCACAUCUCCCCCCUUUUUAUUUGUUAAUUUAAGUUCGUGCAAUUGACUCAUUAUUGGUUUGAUGGUAGGAUUUAUGAAUCUUAAAAAUAAUGGGAAACAAAAACAAAUUAGGCCAAUACCAAAAGGAAGCGUAUGCAAAAGCAAGGAUAUGCUCGAAAAGCGUGAAAGCUGGUGUUAUGUAGACAAAAUAGCAUGUGCUAAUUUAUUUGGGUCAAUCCCAGAAUGGGGGCUAUUUUCAAUGUUGGAAGUGAUAUCAUGAAGGGUAUUAAUAUUGAGGGUAAUAUUAGAAUCGUGCCAGACUCCCAAUAAGCGAGCACGUAUCUUAACCCAUGAGAUAUUGGGAUCUGAAGCAUUAUAGGGUAGUGGAGUAACACAAAUAUAUGAGUAUCUGUAAUCACAUCGCAAAAGCAACCUUGUUUUCAAGGUUUCUAACUCAUCUCCUAAAUACAAUACUGAUCGCUCUAAUAAAUUGACUUUAUACAAUACAUCUCUAUCAAUAGCUUCUUGUGCUUUAAGUACUAAACAUAUUUUUUGCUAAGUCACUUACAAAUUAUGCAGUUUAAAUUUCAGAUUGUAGUGCAAUAGAUGAAACAGUAGUAGAUAAAAUAAGAGAAGCAACAAUGAUUAAACCAGUUAUAAGGAGACCAAUAAAUUGUUUUGAUUGAUUUAAGGAGGAAGUAAUAAUCUGAGGAGCAUGUUGACCAGAGUUCUGGAACUAUUCAUGUGAGAUGUUAGUCGGAAAAAUGGCAAAUGAUGAUUGUUCUACCAAAAGUACAGUAUAGUCAUUAUUAUCAAUACAUUGUUUGAGAGUGCAAUCGACACAAGUAGCAUUCUAUUCAAAAGUAGUAUUAGAUUGAGUAAAAUUUACACAUUCAUUAGACAAACUGGUAUUAAAAAAUGAUGUAACAAGAAAAAGACAGGGUUCAGUAUUGUUGCUAACUUUUGUAAAACAUACAGGUGUCCUAAAUGCUAGAGAGCUGAGGGUAAUUGUAACAUUGGCACUGUCCUGGAGGAAGGGGUAUUCUUGGCCUCUGAAUAUAUAAGUAUUAUUAGUAUAUAUAGUUCCCAAUUUGUCCAUGUAUGUGAGGGGUCACAACCAGGGCAAAAAAGGAAAAUAAGUCCAGCGCUGAGCACUCUGUACAUUACACACUUGAGCAGAAAGUAAAGCUACUAUUGCUAAAAAUACAAGGUCAGGAGUCUUCCAUGGCUGGAUGAGAGGGAGCUUUCACUUGACCCCAUGUGGGAAGGCGACUCAUCACUGUAGAUCUGCUCUUUCUGUGCUUUCCCAGAAUCCUCAUACUCUGCAUUGAAGCUGUGAGUGUGAUACACGCUCGGAUAUUUUCCUUUGGUAUCCAGACAGGUUUAUCAAAGUUUUCUGAAAAAAUACAAGCAUACCCUCGUCCCCACAUUAAUAAUGGAUUCAGGCCUCUGGGUGUUUAUUUUUCUCAAGGUGUUUUUCGGCUGGAGUGUAGCUAUCUUUGUUAAUAUUUAAAAAAUUAAUAGCCAAUUGUCGAUGAGGGGUAAUAGCCCAGAUACCCCCUUUUUUGUUAAAGAAGAAUAGUUUUAAUAUCUUUGUUUUUAAUUAUAUAGAAUGCUUGUGAUCAGAGAAAUGUUAUAAAAAGCAUAAAAAGAAGAAAAUGCUUUGCUAUCGUAAGCAGGAGCAUUAUCUGUUUGAAUUUGUUUAGGUACACCCAUAACUGAGAAGGCUUGUAGAAUAUGAUUGAUUACAUGUUUAAUUAUUCCACUUGUUUGUAAAGUGGAAAAAAUGAAAGAAGAAAAAAUAUCAAUUAUAACAUGAAUAUAAGAAAGCUUUUCAGAAGAAGGCAUAUGAGUUACAUCUAUUUCUCAAAUAUGUUUGGGAGAAAAGCCUCUGGGAUUAAUGGCAAAAGAAGGAGGGUUAAUAAAAGUGAUACAUUUGAAACAGCCUUUAAAAAAAUAAUCAUUUUUAUACUAUGUUUCUAAUACUGCAGGAGUUUAUUUAUUCAAAAAUAGUCACAAAAUGUUAUCCUGUCUACAAUUAAGGUUGUUAUAUUGGCAGAAUGUAGUUAAUAAAAGGCCUAAUAAAAGCUUAAUAAAAAGUUAAGUGGCAGCAUUUUGGCGAAACUAGAAAUGAGAAUUAAUAGCUUGUUGUAUGGUAGGAGUUAAAAGUGUUAGAUAGAAUUGUAGUUGAGAAUCAAUAAUGGUAUUACUUUCAGUAAGAGGUCCCGACAAAUUAAAAUGUGCUCAUAUGUGGGUAAUAUAGAUAAGGUAAUAACGUGAACGAAGUAAGAUUUGAAGUUGUUGAAAAAGAGUAUAUAAUUGUGUAUUAGUAAUAUAUUUUAACUUUGCAGUCUCUAUAUUUUGAGAGACACAGACAGAGUAUUUGCUAUCAGAAGCAACAUUAAUAGGCUCAGUAAAAUCCUGAAGUAAUAAUAUAAGAGCUGCUAAUUUAGCCUUUUGUGCAGAAGAGUAAAGUGUGUGAAUAUAAUUUCUUUGAGUUGGUGAGAUAUAAUAUCCUGCCAUACCUGUGCUUGACCCAUCAGUGAACGCAGUGGGUGCUGAAGGAAUGGGAUUAGAUCUAAAAAUCUUUGGAAAUACCCAUGAAUAAUUCGUAAAAAAGGUUAAUAUCUUGAGAGAUGGUAAGUGAUUAUCAAUACGGCCAGAAAAAAUUGUAAUAGCAAUUUGCCAGUCCUCUGAAGAGGAAACAAGAGUGUCUAUUUGUUUUUUAUUAUAAGGUUGAUGAAUAACAGAAAGUAAAUUUCCUUUUAUGAAAUUUUACCUACCAUUGUAGGAUAAGGAAUUACAGAAUUGGGGAAUUGAUGAGGGAGGUGAAUCCAUUCUAAGGCUCCAGAAGAUUGAAAUAAAACUCCUGUAGAGGACACUGGAGUACUAAGAAUAGCACCUUGUACCUCUUCAUUUAAUGAAAUAUGGGGUCUAAAACUUUCCCAUGCAAGGAUCUCGAGUCCCUGUACAGGUGCCAACUGCCAGAAGCCGGCGUGGUGUUCAACAGAGUGGUGAAGAAAAAGGGGAAAGGGAACUGGAGAAAGAAAAGUCGGGCUAGGGUCAGAGGACAGGCUUGACAGUCCUUGAGGGCAUGGGCUGCCCUGUGGACCAGGGCCUGGCUGAGAGGCUGCCCCGAGGGGCCCUGGUCUUCAGAGAGGAGCUGGACACCAUCAAGUUCCUGUGCAGGGACUACUGUGCUGUAAGAAAUGAUAAGCAGACUUCAGAAAAACCUGGAAACACUUGUAUGGUCUGAUGCAGAGUGAAGU